GCCCGCCUAGCUCAAUCGGAUAGAGCGUCAGACUCUUACAUAGGCAGGGCAUCUGAAGGCUGCGAGUUCGACCCUCGCGGUGGGCU